rnacentral:lncRNA from 1 species
AUUUCCAGAUGACUUGGUGCAUUCAUUCUCAUUUAACAAAUUCACAUUGUAAAGGAUUUGGACACACUCUCUAAGGUCACACCAGAUGUUUUAGAUACUGGUAUGUAUAUAGACAGUAUCAAUGCAUGUGUUCCAUGUGUUAAUUUAGACUACCAUCAGUUAAAAUUGAAAUUUUCCUUUUUCUCUAUCAACCCAUAGGUUGUUGGACCGGAAACAUAGAUAUCAAAAUAAAAAGAUUUGGUAUGAUUGCCACCAGAGACUAAGUGACAUUAAAGGUAAGGAACUUACGGUCACUGUUCAGCCUUCAACAUUGAGCAAAACCUUAAAGAACAAAUGAAAAUAUUCAGCUGAUAAAUUGCCAAACUCAUCAGAUCAAGACAAACAUGACAAUUAAAGCACAAAAACAAAUGGAGCCAAUUUAUCAGCAAGAUAGAUUUUUCUGAUCUUGUUUGUUGUGACCAAUGAAAUAUCUUGCUUGAAAAUUAAAUCUGCAAGGCCCUGCUAUUUAUGUUUCCUAGGCUUAUAAUAGUGGUUUAAAUCCUGACCAUUUGUCCACUUUAACAUCAACCUCCAUUAUACAUAACUGAAGUGUCUUAGGCACAGUUCUGUAUUCCAAGAUCAACAAAAAGUGUAUUAUUUUAAUACUUACACAUGUAAUCAUCAAUUUGAAACACUUUCAGCUUUUAGCAAUGGUCAUAAAAGACUUUUCUUAACCUACUCUUUAAUAUAUUUCCAACAUGAGAAAAUAUAUCCAUUAUAAAAUAUGUGGCAAGGAAACCUGUAGUGAUUGAUACAAGAAUGUCAUUCUUUACAAGAAUGUUAUUCUAUUCAAGAAUGUCAUUCUAUACAAGAAUGUCAUUCUAUUCAAGAAUGUCAUUCUAUAAAAGAAUGUAAUGUUGAUCUUAUUGAGAAUCUAAUAGAACUUUUCCAUAGGGUCAUCUUCUAUUGGUCAAGGUAUUUAUAAAUUUAUCUGUUCUAUUACUAAUUGAAAAAUACAAUAUUUAUUAGCCUCUUUAUACUAUCACUUAGAUUUAUUCAAAGAGAAAUCUAUCUAUCUAUUUUUGAAUUUUCCUCAGAGUUCAGUAUUUUUGUGUUUUUACUUUUCACUCAACACUUAAUAUACAUGAAUAAAAAAAACGGUCUGCUAAAUGGAUGAAAAGACAUGUAUCAACUCACAAAACCACUUGCUUGUCAAUACUUUGAAUUCUGCAAGAUCAUGCAUGAACAAAAAAAUCAUAUUUGGCCAGAAACUAAGUGACCGAAUGUGGUCAACUGCUAUACAGUAAUGAGUUGUAGAGAAUUUGCUCUUUUACGAUCUGUCAUGACUCAUGCACCAAAUUCCUAUUCUAUACAGUACUUUUAUUUCAAAAUGCAAUGUGUUCUGUCUGACAUCUUUGAAAGUUUAUAGUUUAAGUACUCAAGAAUUAAUGAGAGCUUACAAAUUCUAACAUAAUGAUUUUAUAUUUCAGGUUGGUUCACAUCUACUAUGCAAAAGUUCACCUAAGACCUCAAGCAGUUAACACACAGAUGAUUUGAGCAGAAUAACUGAACAAUACAAAACAAAAGAUUUUAACACUCUGUAAUACAUGAACAUUUAAAUUUUUCAUAGGCAUUGUACAUAAAUAUAUAUAAAAAAAUAUAUACUUUUGAUACCUUAAAUUAUAGGAACUAUUUACAAGUUGUUUAUUAUAUAAUGAUGAUAUGGAAAAACUACCUAUUAUAAAAAUGUAAUGCAUAUUUUUAGAAUGUUUAGAUAAUCCAUGAAAAUUUUCUUGAAGCUCUCAUUUUAGAUUUCAUU